rnacentral:rRNA from 1 species
AUUGAACGCUGGCGGCAGGCCUAACACAUGCAAGUCGAGCGAGCGGCGGACGGGUGAGUAAUGUAUGGGGACUGCCCGAUAGAGGGGGAGAACUACUGGAAAAGGUAGAUAAUACCGCAUACUAUCGGAUAACCCAUAUGGGAUUAGCUAGUAGGGGAGGUAAUGGCUCACCUAGGCGACGAUCCCUAGAUGGGGUGGGAGGAUGAUCAGCCACACGGGGACUGAGACACGGCCCCGACUCCUACGGAGGCAGCAGUGGGGAAUAUUGCGCAAUGGGCGCAAGCCUGAUGCAGCCGUGCCGCGUGUAUGAAGAAGGCCCUAGGGUUGUAAAGUACUUUCAGUCGGGAGGCGUUACCGACAGAAGAAGCACCGGCUAACUCCGUGCCAGCAGCCGCGGUAAUAC